GUGGGGAAUAUUCCGCAAUGGACGAAAGUCUGACGGAGCAACGCUGCGUGAGUGAUGAAGGUUUUCGGACUGUAAAGCUCUGUUGUUUAGGACGAAAGUGCCUGUUGCAAAUAGUUACAGGUAUUGACGGUACUGAACGAGGAAGCCACGGCUAACUACGUGCCAGCAGCCGCGGUAAUACGUAGGUGGCAAGCGUUGUCCGGAAUUAUUGGGCGUAAAGAGCAUGUAGGCGGGAAUCUAAGUCUGUUGUGAAAAUGCGGGGCUCAACCCCGUAUUGCGAUGGAAACUGGGUUUCUUGAGUGCAGGAGAGGAAAGGGGAAUUCCCAGUGUAGCGGUGAAAUGCGUAGAUAUUGGGAGGAACACCAGUGGCGAAGGCGCCUUUCUGGACUGUGUCUGACGCUGAGAUGCGAAAGCCAGGGUAGCGAACGGGAUUAGAUACCCGGGUAGUCC
rnacentral:rRNA from 1 species